rnacentral:rRNA from 1 species
UGAAAGGGAAACGAUUGAAGUCAGUCGUACCGGUGGGUAAUCAGCCUUUCGGGUGUGAUUAUGUGGAGCGUGAGGAGUUUAAUCGCCUUCAUGCCUUCAUAUUCGUGCACUUUGGGUGUAAUUGCCCGCAUGGUAGGUUAACAUCAAUUUCGGAUGCCAUAAAAUGGUUGGAGGAAUGUGGCUUCGACCUCGGUUGAAGUGUUAUAGCCUUUGGCAGAUGUGGUGACCGGGAUUGAGGAUUGCAACGGAUACCCUUCGGGGCUACCUGUCUGAUCUCUGAUCGUUACUCUGGUGCCGAAAGCGUGCUUACGGUCAUCA